rnacentral:rRNA from 1 species
UGAGGAAUUUUGCGCAAUGGGAGCAAUCCUGACGCAGCAACGCCGCGUGGGUGAUGAAGGCCUUCGGGUCGUAAAGCCCUGUCAGGUGGGAAGAAUGUCCCGGAACUGAACAGGUUUCGGGAGUGACGGUACCACCAGAGGAAGCACCGGCUAACUCCGUGCCAGCAGCCGCGGUAAUACGGAGGGUGUAAGCGUUAUUCGGAAUUACUGGGCGUAAAGGGCGUGCAGGCGGGAGAGCAAGUCUGAUGUGAAAGCCCGGGGCUUAACCCCGGAAGGGCAUUGGAAACUGCAGGUCUUGAGUACUGGAGAGGAUGGGGGAAUUCCCGGUGGAGAGGUGAAAUUCGUAGAGAUCGGGAGGAAUAUCAGUGGCGAAGGCGCCCAUCUGGACGGUAACUGACGCUGAGACGCGAAAGCGUGGGGAGCAAACA